rnacentral:rRNA from 1 species
UUCUCUUGAGAGCGGCGGACGGGUGAGUAAUGCCUAGGAAUCUGCCUGGUAGUGGGGGAUAACGCUCGGAAACGGACGCUAAUACCGCAUACGUCCUACGGGAGAAAGCAGGGGACCUUCGGGCCUUGCGCUAUCAGAUGAGCCUAGGUCGGAUUAGCUAGUUGGUGAGGUAAUGGCUCACCAAGGCGACGAUCCGUAACUGGUCUGAGAGGAUGAUCAGUCACACUGGAACUGAGACACGGUCCAGACUCCUACGGGAGGCAGCAGUGGGGAAUAUUGGACAAUGGGCGAAAGCCUGAUCCAGCCAUGCCGCGUGUGUGAAGAAGGUCUUCGGAUUGUAAAGCACUUUAAGUUGGGAGGAAGGGCAGUAAAUUAAUACUUUGCUGUUUUGACGUUACCGACAGAAUAAGCACCGGCUAACUCUGUGCCAGCAGCCGCGGUAAUACAGAGGGUGCAAGCGUUAAUCGGAAUUACUGGGCGUAAAGCGCGCGUAG